GGGAGCCUGGUGGGCUUCCGUCUAUGGGGUCACACAGAGUCAGACACGACUGAAGUGACUUAGCAGCAGCAGCAGCAGCAGCAGCAGUAAUCAAUAAGGCACUGUGCUAAGCACUUGUACAUAUGGGGUUUUUUUCAGUUUAACUCAAAAAAAAUAUCAGGUAGGUACUAUUGCUGUUUCUAUUUGUCAAAUGGAGAAAUUGAUACAUAGAAAUAGUAACUAGGAGGUAAAAUUUAUUAUAUUAUUGAUCUAUUUAAAUUUGUAUGUUGUAAUUAGAAAAGAGUCACCAAGGUCUAAAGCCUGGCAGCCUGGCAAUUAAAUCCCCCAGUUUCAAAAUGCCCCAGGAAUGGAAGUGUAUGUAUGCUGAAAUAUACAUAUAUAUAUGUAUGUAUGUAUAUGUAAUUCUUUUCUUUUGGCCCCACCACCCGGCUUGUGGGAUCUUAGUUCCCCAACUAGGGAUUACACCUAGGCCACAGAAGUGCCGAGUUUAACCACUAGACCACCAGGGAAUUCCCUGAAAUAUAUAUUUUUACUAAAUGUAUAUUCUUUCCCCCCCUGCAAUGUCUGGUCGUAAGGAGAAGUUCCCUUUAAAAAGAACUGCCAAAGCAUCCUGAGUUAAUCUGGGUGCCGUGCACUCAGCCCACAGAUGCCAAUGCCGCCAUCUUGAGUGGAGAUGGCAUAGCCUCCCUUUGGCACCAGGAACUCCAGAGGGAAGAGCCUGGGGCAAGGCCUCCACGCAGCAUCCCAGGAGCAAAUAAAGCUGAACUAAGACAAAGGAAAAAACAAGCUAAAAGGUCUCUCUCUGCAAUCCCCAUUGCAAGAAUCGGUAGAUGUGGGGAGCUGGCAGAGCCCCGGAUGGUUGCAUGGAGUGCGGAUCGCAUAAGCCUACAUGUUGUCUUUUCAUUUUGCUCACAUCCUUUUCCCACUGUCAACAUUUAUUAUAGCUAUCUUUAGCACCUCUAGAGAUUGAAAGAGAAACAUUUAAUAUCUCUUUAUUGAGGAAACAAAGCACAAUAUGAAAAAAUUAAGCCACUUUUUUCUUGAAAAUUUGCAUUAGUGUGCAAUUAGAAACUUUAUCA
rnacentral:lncRNA from 1 species